rnacentral:rRNA from 1 species
UACGAAGGGGGCUAGCGUUGUUCGGAAUCACUGGGCGUAAAGCGCACGUAGGCGGCUUUUUAAGUCAGGGGUGAAAUCCUGGAGCUCAACUCCAGAACUGCCUUUGAUACUGAGAAGCUUGAGUCCGGGAGAGGUGAGUGGAACUGCGAGUGUAGAGGUGAAAUUCGUAGAUAUUCGCAAGAACACCAGUGGCGAAGGCGGCUCACUGGCCCGGUACUGACGCUGAGGUGCGAAAGCGUGGGGAGCGAACAGG